GGAGAUGAUAGGACUGACUGAGUGGGGAGGUGAUAGGACUGACUGAGUGGGGAGGUGAUAGGACUGACUGAGUGGGGAGGUGAUAGGACUGCCUGAGUGGGGAGAUGAUAGGACUGACUGAGUGGGGAGAUGAUAGGACUGACUGAGUGGGGAGGUGAUAGGACUGACUGACUGGGGAGGUGAUAGGACUGACUGAGUGGGGAGAUGAUAGGACUGAGUGGGGAGGUGAUAGGACUGACUGAGUGGGGAGAUGAUGGGACUGACUGAGUGUAGAGGUGAUGGGACUGACUGAGUGGGGAGGUGAUAGGACUGACUGAGUGGGGAGGUGAUAGGACUGACUGAGUGGGGAGAUGAUAGGACUGAGUGGGGAGGUGAUAGGACUGACUGAGUGGGGAGAUGAUAGGACUGACUGAGUGGGGAGAUGAUAGGACUGACUGAGAGGGAGGUGAUAGGACUGACUGAGUGGGGAGGUGAUAGGACUGACUGAGUGGGGAGAUGAUAGGACUGACUGAGUGGGGAGAUGAUAGGACUGACUGAGAGGGAGGUGAUAGGACUGACUGAGUGGGGAGGUGAUAGGACUGACUGAGUAGGGAGAUGAUUGGACUGACUGAGUGGGAAGAUGAUAGGACUGACUGAGUGGGGAGAUGAUAGGACUGACUGAGUGGGGAGAUGAUUGGACUGACUGAGUGGGGAGAUGAUAGGACUGACUGAGUGGGGAGAUGAUAGGACUGACUGAGUGGGGAGAUGAUAGGACUGACUGAGUGGGGAGAUGAUGGGACUGACUGAGUGGGGAGAUGAUAGGACUGACUGAGUGGGGAGAUGAUAGGACUGACUGAGUGGGGUCCCAGUGUGAAGGGAGAGUAGAGGAAGGAGGAACAUUCAGACUUACCACUUUCUUGGGGGCGAAGGUUCAUCACUGCCUCAGCGGGUGCCAAGGACUACACAGCGUCUGUGCUUAACUUCUUCCUGUUUGCUGUAGCUUAGCUACUCAUUAGUAUUUUCUUAAGAACUAAAAAUUGUGUGACUUGGUGUGACUUGGCUGGUAGUUGGCAGAGUUGGCUGCAGAUGCCAGAGACCGGGCUGACCAUUUAGAACCAGUCUGCUUUUCAGUGCCUCUCACACUUCUUUAUUUGUCU